GCGAUGGUUCAAUUUCGCAAGCCAGGCUCUCUACUUCCACUUCCCUCCCAAACACGCUUUUUGCUCGAACGUGUUUAAGAGGGAAGCGGAAGUAAAGAACCUGGCUUGCGAGGUUGGCGACGGUU